UCCGUAGGUGGAUCAAUCAGUCAGAGGUGAAAUCCUGCAGCUUAACUGUAGAACUGCCUUUGAUACUGUUGAUCUUGAGUCAUUAUGAAGUGGUUAGAAUGUGUAGUGUAGCGGUGAAAUGCAUAGAUAUUACACAGAAUACCGAUUGCGAAGGCAGAUCACUAAUAAUGUACUGACACUGAGGGGCGAAAGCGUGGGGAGCGAACAGGAUUAGAUACCCUGGUAGUCC
rnacentral:rRNA from 1 species